rnacentral:rRNA from 1 species
UAAGAGGUCCCGCCUGCCCUGUGACUAUAAGUUUAACGGCCGCGGUAUUUUAACCGUGCGAAGGUAGCGUAAUCACUUGUCUUUUAAAUGAAGACCUGUAUGAAUGGCAUCACGAGGGCUUAACUGUCUCCCCCCUCCAAUCAAUGAAAUUGAUCUCCCCGUGCAGAAGCGGGGAUAAGUACAUAAGACGAGAAGACCCUGUGGAGCUUUAGACCUAAAAUAAUUCACGUUUUAAUACCCUGUUAUACCAGUAAAAACUUAGUUUUACUUAUUGAAGUGUCUUUGGUUGGGGCGACCACGGGGAAAAAUAUAACCCCCAUGAAGACCGGGGAUACUAUCCCUAAUACUCAGAGCUUUCUACUCCAAGUAACAGAAAUUCUGACUUUCCUGAUCCGGUAUUUAACCGAUCAACGGACCGAGUUACCCCAGGGAUAACAGCGCAAUCCCCUCCCAGAGCCCAUAUCGACGAGGGGGUUUACGACCUCGAUGUUGGAUCAGGACAUCCUAAUGGUGCAGCCGCUAUUAAGGGUUCGUUUGUUCAACG